rnacentral:snoRNA from 1 species
CCCAUCACUGCACCUGACUAGUUCUUUGUUGCCUGGUGCAACUCAGUGGUGAGCUGAUAUUAAACCCAAGGUCUGCAGACAGAGUUGGUCUGCAUGUGGAUGGCUCUAUGCUGAAAUUUGAAGAGGU